rnacentral:lncRNA from 10 species
CCAAAAAACUCCCUCAAACUCCCUCCCCAGUAUAAACCCCUCAUUCUGUAAGCUUGGCGCUACCUCCUCUGAGUGUGGUGGAGUAGCCCGGCUGGUUCAACAAAGUUACUCGCCUGACUUUGGGUCUAUUCUUCCUUCCCUCGGCUGCCCUUACAUUCUGGUGCCGAAAGCCCGGAAGGGGAUAGACUCUGGCCGGGACUCACUCUCUCCUCUCUCUCCCUCCCCAUCACCGCUCUCCUGGCCAUUCUCACCUUUCCCCAACCUGCCGAAGACCCAGAGAAUCUCCUAGGUUCUCCCUUUGCUGGCGACCUCAUCCACCAUCAAAACCUCCGCCAGGGUCCUGGCUGAGUCAUCAUCCAUCACAGCAGGCUGGUACAACAUCACAGUGGAGGACAAUUCUCUAGGGACCACAGAGGAUAUGAAUGUGACCUGGGUUAGCAAAGGCCUCCCCAAGAAGCUGGAGCAGAGUGGGGCACCAGGAUCAGCCCCCAAUCCCUGGACCUUGGCUGUGAGCCUGCCUGAGCCUGAGCCAGUGCAAUGCCGGUCUUCUGUAUGUGGUCAGAAACUUCAGACACCAGAAAACUGUCACCUUAGAUGUUGGAAGAGUCUGUUGAGCUUAACAAAUUGCCAGCAAGCCCCUACAGUUACAUUUCUGCAAAGCAAUGUUCUUCAGGUGGGGAAAUAAAGAACUUCCACCUCUAGCCAGAGAAGAAGCCCAGACCACAUGCGUAAGAGACUUUGCAUUUUGGCAACUGACUGACUCCACCUGGACUCAUGACUCAACUGGUCUUGUGGCCCCCAACCAAGAGCUGGGCUCAGCACAUGAGGAUGGUUUUCCACACCCCUAUGAUUGCAUCCCCAACCAAUCAGUAGCACUCAUUCCUGAGUCCCGUACCCACCAAACUAUCCUUGAAAAACCUUAACCUCCAAGCCCUCAGAGAGACUGACUUGAGUGAUAACUCCAUCUCCCAUCUGGCCUGCCUCACAUUAAUAAAACUCUGUCUCUGCUGCAAUAGCAUGGUUUCAGUGAAUUAGUUUUGUCUUGGUGGGCAGGAAGAACCUGUUGUGUGACUACAAAGAGUGUCAUGUAGCAGAGGGCACCUGGAGCCAACUCCCA